AAGGUCACGCAAGGAGUGGACCCAGGCCACACUGGAGCCUGGGCCGAUUCCUACAGGAUGUAUGCCAGAUCAUGGGCUCCCAGUGGCCAUGGAUGCCUCCCAAAGCCCUGGUCCUGGGCAGCUGGCCCUCUGCUUGCACCCCCUUGACACAGGGUCUGAAAGUAGGUCUGAGGCAGGCCCACCCCUUCCAGACCCCCUGGGGGCCCAGCCAGUUAUUCCUGGCUCUCCUGUCUCAUUUGUACUCUGGAAAACUUGACGGCAGCAUGGAAAGCUCCAGCUGCCAGUGCCACACGCCAGGCCCUGUGCCCUUUGCACAGGAAUGGCAGGGGCAGGGAGAAGGGAGGAGACGCCAUUUGCUCAGCUGCUAGGACACAGGGCCAGGAGGGGUAGGGAAGAGAAGCAUGUGUGGCAUGUUCAGCCCGUACCCCAGAGACAAUGUGUUCUGGGUGGGGGCCUUGGCGCCUUGGGACUUCUGGAGUGUGGUCUUUGGGCCAACCCCUUCCUCAAGAAAGACCUCAGGUCCCUAUGUAGUCUGGAGAUAGAUCAAGGCCCACCCCAGCUCCCUGGUUGGGGAAACUGAGGCUCAGGGGAGGCAACUGGAUUGGCUGCUUGCUGGCCCCCUUGGAGGGCUCUGGCUUGGACCCUCAGGAGUCAGUGCAGGCCUGGGUGUGAGUCAUUUCUCAGCUUCCAGCCUUACACCUGGCGUCUGGCACAUGCAAAGCGCAAGGUAGCAUCGUCCAUAUUACUGGGCUGUUUGGUCACUUGCCCAAGGUCACAAAACUAUCAAGUGGAAGAAGCCAGGGAAAGACCUGUGUCCCUUCCCCACUUAAUCACCUCCUUCACCCUACAUCACGCAGCCCAGCCUAAGAGGCCAGCAGUCCACGGCCAGCAUCCCUCCCCCGUACCAUUCCCUGCCCCUCCUGGCAAAGCCCCGUGCCAUUCAUCCCUAACUCCAGCCUUAUGCCCUUUCCUAGGGGUGUCUGUCCAUCCUGCCAGUCUGGGGAGGACCCAGCAACAGAGCAUAACCAGUGUGGGAGAAGGAAGGCACCCACCCUGCACAGGGCUGGGGAGCUGGGGGAGGCUGUACCUGGAGCUGCAGGCUCUUUCUCUGGCCUCUGGCUCCUGCCUGAUGAAGCUCGCCUCUGGGGAAAGGGAGCGGUGGCAGGAGAAUGCUCUUAAAGGCAAAGGCCGGCCUCCCUCCAUCUGCCUCCCCCGGGAGACCUGAAGCCAGUCAGAGAGCAGCUGGUACCCAUGGGUUGGGCGGAGCUCAGUGGCUCACUGGGGAGUGAGUGGGGAUGGGGGCCAGCCUGGCCUUUGUUCCUUCUCUUUGGUGCUCCCUGCAGUUUGAGAUCCACACAGCCCUGGGAGGAGCUGAGACCACUACAUGAAACGAAUCACAGAGUGCGCACACGUGUGCUUGGUGUGCAUUCAGAUAGGUAGCUACGGGAGAGCGUGUCUGCAAAUGCCCGUGUGCACAGGAAUGUGGGCCACAGCGACAACGGUAUGCUGGGGGAAGAAGCCAGAGGUACCGGAUCCAAUCACCUUCCCUGGAGUCUCUGCUUCCCGUCCCUGGGGCCUGUGCGGUGCCUUGGCUUCCAAGUCCUCCAGACCCUGACCGUAGAGGGGCCGCCCGUUCGCUUGAUGGGCAGCUCCCCACACAGCUGCUGCCUCCAUGUGUGUCCAGCCCUGGGAGAGGUGAGAGAGUGACUCUGAGGUGAGAGGACAGUCCACAGCUUUGGUCCUGCCCCUCCCCCACCAGGCCCUCCUCCAUCCUCCCCACAGGUAUUCAUUGCGGGAGGCCCCUGACACCAUUUGCACGGUUGCUGGUCACUAAAUAAAACCCGUAAAUUGUG